rnacentral:rRNA from 1 species
GGUUAAGCGACUAAGCGUACACGGUGGAUGCCCUGGCAGUCAGAGGCGAUGAAGGACGUGCUAAUCUGCGAUAAGCGUCGGUAAGGUGAUAUGAACCGUUAUAACCGGCGAUUUCCGAAUGGGGAAACCCAGUGUGUUUCGACACACUAUCAUUAACUGAAUCCAUAGGUUAAUGAGGCGAACCGGGGGAACUGAAACAUCUAAGUACCCCGAGGAAAAGAAAUCAACCGAGAUUCCCCCAGUAGCGGCGAGCGAACGGGGAGCAGCCCAGAGCCUGAAUCAGUGUGUGUGUUAGUGGAAGCGUCUGGAAAGGCGCGCGAUACAGGGUGACAGCCCCGUACACAAAAAUGCACAUGCUGUGAGCUCGAUGAGUAGGGCGGGACACGUGGUAUCCUGUCUGAAUAUGGGGGGACCAUCCUCCAAGGCUAAAUACUCCUGACUGACCGAUAGUGAACCAGUACCGUGAGGGAAAGGCGAAAAGAACCCCGGCGAGGGGAGUGAAAAAGAA